rnacentral:rRNA from 1 species
GUGCCAGCCGCCGCGGUAAUACGGAGGGUGCAAGCGUUGUUCGGAAUCACUGGGCGUAAAGCGCGUGUAGGCGGCCAUUUAAGUCUGGUGUGAAAGCCCUGGGCUCAACCCAGGAAGUGCACUGGAUACUGGAUGGCUGGAGUACCGGAGAGGAGGGUGGAAUUCCUGGUGUAGCGGUGAAAUGCGUAGAUAUCAGGAGGAACACCGGUGGCGAAGGCGUCCCUCUGGCCGGAUACUGACGCUGAGACGCGAAAGCGUGGGGAGCAAACAGGAUUAGAUACCCUCGUAGUCC